rnacentral:tRNA from 1 species
GGUUCCAUGGUGUAAUGGUUAGCACACAAGGUUUUGAUCCUUGUGAUCCGAGUUCGAUUCUCGGUGGGACCU